AUAGGGUUAAGCUACUAAGAGCACACGGAGGAUGCCUAGGCGCUAGGAGCCGAUGAAGGACGUGGCGAACAACGAAACUGCCUCGGGGAGCUGUAAGCAAGCUUUGAUCCGGGGAUGUCCGAAUGGGGAAACCCAGCUGGGGUAAUUUCCAGUUACACCUAACUGAAUACAU
rnacentral:rRNA from 1 species